ACCUAAGCUGAGGCCGAAAGGCGUAGGUGAUGGACAACAGGUUGAUAUUCCUGUACUACCGAUAACCGUUUGAGAGAAGGGAUGACACAGUAGGAUAAGCUAAGCACACUGUUGGUUAUGUGUGCCCAAGCAUUGAGGCAGUCAAAGUAGGCAAAUCCGCUUUGAUAAUGCUGGGAUGUGAUGGGGAGCGAAAUUUAGUAGCGAAGUAGCUGAUUUCACACUGUCAAGAAAAGUCUCUAUCGAGGUUAAAGGUACCCGUACCGCAAACCGACACAGGUGGGUGAGGAGAGUAUCCUAAGGCCAGCGAGAGAACUGUUGUUAAGGAACUCGGCAAAAUGACCCCGUAACUUAGGGAUAAGGGGUGCCACCAUCAGGUGGCCGCAGAGAAUAGGCCCAAGCGACUGUUUACCAAAAACAUAGGUUUCUGCUAAGUCGCAAGACGAUGUAUAGGAGCUGACGCCUGCCCGGUGCUGGAAGGUUAAGGGGAUCUGUUAGAGCAAUCGAAGCAGUGAACUUAAGCCCCAGUAAACGGCGGCCGUAACUAUAACGGUCCUAAGGUAGCGAAAUUCCUUGUCGGGUAAGUUCCGACCCGCACGAAAGGCGUAACGAUUUGGGCACUGUCUCAACAACAGACUCGGUGAAAUUGUAAUUCCGGUGAAGAUGCCGGAUACCUGCGACAGGACGGAAAGACCCCAUGGAGCUU
rnacentral:rRNA from 1 species